AUACAAAAAGCUAAGUAAACAACUAUUUACAAAACAACUAAUUAAAUCAGCUAACAGCUAAUCGUUAACCGCUAAUUGCCAAACUCGUUAACCGUUAAUUGCCAAACUGAGCCAUAGUCUAAAUAAGUAUGACCACCUUAUAUUGUACAAUUUUAUUGGAAAGCACCUUUAAAAUCUAUUUGAUGAUGCUGCAUGCGAGGAAAAAGGAAAAUAUAGAAUCAUGGAUGCACCGCACUACUUGUCAUAAUCUCUAGAGAGUAGAAGAAAAUAGGUUCCUCCAAUGAUCACAAUAAUUAUAGUUGUCGGAAAAUUAAAUACAAGAAAAAGAUCUAAAUAAUAAUUUAGAUGAGGUGCUCCCUGGCAUGCAACAAGUACUUAGACAGUUAAUCAGGAUUGGGUAUAUUCAAGAAUAAAUCUGAGAAAUUUUGGUUUUACUUUAAUCACCUUUUUCUCUUCAUUUUUUACCAAUAUGUAAUCUUGAUUCAAUCAUGAAUCAUAGCUAUUCAAAAUAUGUCUAUCCGUCUUUCUUUACACAGUACGUGUCUAUUUAUCUUUCUCUCGAGAAAUCCGCGGUAAGUUGCCUGACCAUUUUGGCAGUGGCAGUGGCAGUGGCAGAGCCAACCAUAAACUUGAGGGAGGGGCCAAAAUAUUUUUCUAAGACAUUAUAAUAGAUAAUAGUUUAUAAUCAAAAGUAGUACGCUUUACAUAUUUUACAAUUCACAGUAGCAUUCUUCUAUCUUCAUGUCUUGAAAUCUCUGCAUGAUUGCUUCAUUACUUAUAGUCUCGAAAAUGUCCCUUUCGAUGUAUGUCACAAGACAAUCAUUUAACCAAGCAUCUCUCAUUGCAUUUCGAAGUAUACUUUUAAUAAGAUUCAUAGCUAAAAAAGCUCUUUCCACGGUGGCGGUUGCAACGGGCAAUAUCAAAGCUAACUUAAUCAACAUGUAUACCAAAGGAAACCCAAUAUUCUUCUUCUUCUGAACCAUUCUUUGAGCAAGUUUUCCAACUCCCUUUAGAUCUUUAAAAUCUUCAUCACCUCUCAAGUCUUCGACAUAAUUUUCAAGUUGAUCCUCAAGUGUCAAAAGAUCUAUUUCAUUAAAUUCAAGAGGAUAAAAUCUAGCAAAUUGGACUAAUCUUUGUUUAUCAAAAGCUAUGAAUGAAUCCCGCGGGUCAAGACAUGAUAUACAUGUAAGUAGCUCGAUAUUCAUAUUAUCAAAACGUUCAUCCAUCUCUCUAAGUUGAAAAUCAACUACCGCCACAAGUGAUUGUGUUUUGUAAUGUUGAUGAUUUGUAACCCUGUGAAUGCUACGCUUUGAUCUUCCACGAGGGACAUAAGGCUCAUUCAUGUCAAAUAUAUCAAUCUCAUUCUUUUCACAAAAACUACUUACAUCUACUAACAAAUUAUCCCAAACCUGCGAGGCUUUCCCGAAAAUAAAGUCCUCUUUAUAUGAAACCUACUAGUUUAAAUGAUAAAAGUCAAUUAUCUAUUGUCCUCUUUAUAUCUAAGAACUUUAAAUUGAUUACAUACAUAAACACUUAAAAAUUGGGAAAAAAACUAGAUCCUAAUUUCUUUUAAGAUGUUCUUAGUAACAUAGGCCCUGUUAGGAAGUUAGAGGUUUGAGAAAAAUUUAGAGUUUUGCCAUAUUAGAGGUUUGACCAAGUAAAUAAUCUAAUUUUAGUGUUUGGUAGUUCGCAGAUUAAAAUAGCUGUUUGGACACAAAAAGAUAAUUUUGAAUAAGCUUGGAGCUUUUUUAAUUGAGGUUUGAUAUGUGUCUAAAUAUGAUACAAAAAGCUAAGUAAACAACUAUUUACAAAACAACUAAUUAAAUCAGCUAACAGCUAAUCGUUAACCGCUAAUUGCCAAACUCGUUAACCGUUAAUUGCCAAACUGAGCCAUAGUCUAAAUAAGUAUGACCACCUUAUAUUGUACAAUUUUAUUGGAAAGCACCUUUAAAAUCUAUUUGAUGAUGCUGCACGCGAGGAAAAAGGAAAAUAUAGAAUCAUGGAUGCACCGCACUACUUGUCAUAAUCUCUAGAGAGUAGAAGAAAAUAGUUUCCUCCAAUGAUCACAAUAAUUAUAGUUGUCGGAAAAUUAAAUACAAGAAAAAGAUCUAAAUAAUAAUUUAGAUGAGGUGCUCCCUAGCAUGCAACAAGUACUUAGACAGUUAAUCAGG
rnacentral:lncRNA from 1 species